CCGGCCAAAGCAAAAACAAAGGAAGAAAAAAGGAAGAACAAAACCCUAGGUCAAAAAAUUCAAGGGCAAAGUGUGAAAAUUCAAGGAAACAAGUGAAAAAAGGGUAAAAAUUUUCAAUUAAGCUUGAGAUCUCUCUUUCUUAAGCAAUUUUUUUUAUUUUUCAUGGUUGAAUCACAUAAUUUCAUGAUGAAUCCCAUGCUGGCCGAACACUUAGAGGGGGGUUUUGAUGCUUGAUUUGGUUAGAUUUCAUGUAUUUUGGUAUUUUUAGUUAGUUAGUGAUGUGUAGCAUGAAAAGCCAACAAGAAAAAUUCAUUUUCUCCCAUCACCCAUCAUUGGAUGAAUUCUCCAUGUAGAAUAUUGAUGAUGAUUUUGAUUUUAUUUCAAGUGAUUUGGUUAGGAAUUAGUGAUUUAUGGUGUGAGAAUCAAGUAGGAAAAAUCAUAAUGUUGAUGCACUUACCAUGACCGAAAUUCUUAAGAAGAAAUGUAAGGAUGAUUUUGCUAAAUUUUAUGUUAUUUGACUUGUGUUUGGUGAUUUGAAGUAUUGGGAGAAAAAUGGAAUUAUUGGAGUUAAAUUGGACAUAUUGGCCAAUAAAUCUAGUGAUUGAUUGAAUUAGGCCAAUACUGUUUUAUUUAGGUACACAAUUGAAUUUGUGUAGAACACCGUGUUUAGACGAUAAUCCGAACAAUUUACAUCCCAUUUCAUGCAUUAGUAUAAAGCCUGAAUUGGUUUUAUAACAAUUUAGCACAAAUGUAGUAAAUGGCUUAUUGUGCAUUAUGUAUAGGUGGUGAGCAUUCUGGCAAAAGUAAAGAGAUAGUAUUCGAGGAUCAAGAAUCGGAGUACUCGAAAUUCGACUCCCGAAAUAGUGAGUAACCUUACUAUCGUCUUAAUUAUCUAAAGUAGUUUUUAUUCGUUUUUGUGAAUGUUAUGGAAAAUGAGUUUAAAUGGUAAAUCUUUAUGUUUUAUAAACAAAAUGUGAUUAAAUGAAAUGAUUUUAUAAAACUGUCUUAAAAUUGAAUUAUGGUUUUGAAAAUGGAGUAAUUGGAGACUAAUUGCUGUGUUGUAAAUUAUGGUUUGAAUUGAAUGGCUUAUGAUAAUGUGGGCAUGAAUGGCUGGAUUUGGUAAAUGUGUUGAAAAUGUAUGAACUGUUGAUUUGCCUUGAGAGGUUGUAAAAUAAAAUAAUUGCCAUAUCAUGCUAUUGCAAAUUUUAUUGAAUUGGUGGGUUAUAUAUUGGUCACUACAGUGGAUGAGUUCCAUGGACCAGCCUAUUAGAGGGGCUUGGUAACCCUCUUAUAUUCUUACCUCAGUAUGAGAGGCACGGAUGGAUAACUCCUGAGGUUAACACUUUAAAGUUCACUUCACGCCAAACCACCACGUGAAGGUAAACUCUGCCAACGCCAAGGAAUGGCUAUGUUUUCAAAAUAAAAACAUGAUUGAUGCGUACAUGACUUUUAACAGUCUUGGCGGACUCGGUUGGGAUAACCCUUGCCCAAGGUAUCCCUGAUAACUGAGUAUGAUGAUGAUUUUGGCACGAGCCAAACUUUUUAGGAAAUCAUAAGCCUCGUUGUUUAUUUUGGUGAAAUGAAUCUAUUUUAUCUUAUUAAAAUGAGUUUGAAAUGCUGAGAAUCAUUUUUAUGCUAAUCUAUUUUAUCUGUCUCCAUUUACUCAGCUUUAGAUAUUUUAGAUGGUAUUUGUUUACUCAUUGGGAUUAUAUAAUCUCACCACCCUCCUUUUCACCCAUUUCAGGCUCAAGAUAGUCGGUAGAUAGCUCACUUUGUUGAGGUCUAUAGUUGGACUUGCAUCCUCAAAAACUGUCGGUUUACCACUUUUGAUACUUUUGGUCGUUCAUGGGCCCACGUGUCAUUGUGAAUUAAAUUUUAUACUUUGGUUAUCUGUAUUACAAUAUGUGUGAAUUUAUUUAGCUUUUAUGCUACAAAAAUUAUUUAUCGGUAACUCUAUAAAUAUUAUUUUAUA
rnacentral:lncRNA from 1 species